ACUUAGUAAAAUAUCAUGGAUAUUUAUGAAUGAAAAAUCUUAGAUAUUUAGGCUUGAUAUUUUGUAAAGAGUAUUCUAGAUUAAGAAUACUCUAGAUAGUCUUGUAACUACUAUAAAUAGGGAUCAAGGGAGCUCAUUUGAAGCAUCCCUAGCAACUUGUAAACUUCAUACACUUGUAAACUCUCUUUGUCUAAUACAAAGCUAUUCUCUUGUAUACUUGUGUUCAAGUAUUACAAGCAACUUUCUUGCGAUCCAACAUUCCCUUUAGCAACUUUCAAAACCAAAACCCAACGACACUAAGUCGGCUAGGCUUACUUAGACCGUGUUCUAAGGUCGUACGCGAGUUGAAAGACUAUCUCCGUGACAUCUAGCUCACUUCUAUAGCUAUUCUCUUCUUGUUUCAUCUUCUAAAACACUUGGAUAAUCUCUAGGAAGGUUUUCAUAAGUUUGCUUGGGCAAACUAAGGGUGACUUGGUGAUUCCAUCCUCAAACCUACAACUCUUCACGGGAUUAUAAAGUUUGAAGUUUUGCAAAACCGUUGAUGAUGGUGAUUAUGAUGAAAUCUAGUAGGGACGAAACUAGAACCUCAUAACGAAAUACUAAAAUUGUUAUCUAAUUUUUGUUGAACUUGUUGUAUUUUGUCUUUUCGAUGUUGUAAUUUCAAUUUCUUAUGAUGUACUUGACAAUUCAUGUUAUGAAAUGAAAUUGGUUUUGAAUUAAACUA